GGAUGCGAUAGUACAGCUGCCUUACGAUGCUACGGUAAGGUUGAUGCUGCGUUCGCUAGAGCGCAACCUCUUGCCGGACACUGUUAUACGGCGACUCACACGCCUGCUCUUAGCCGCCCGACUUCGCUCCGGUUACAAACCAUCCUCCGAGCUACAGCUCUCUGAUCUUCUCCAAUUUGUACAAUCUUUAAAAGAGAUGCCUAUAGCUGUGAUGACCGAGAAGCCAAAGUCCCAACAUUAUGAGCUCUCUACCUCUUUCUUCAAGAUUGUUCUUGGAAAACACCUCAAAUACAGCUGCUGUUACUUCAAAGACAAGUUGAGCACUUUGGAGGAUGCUGAAAAAGCAAUGAUGGAAUUAUAUUGUGAAAGGUCGCAGUUGAAAGAUGGACACACUGUACUUGAUGUUGGUUGUGGCUGGGGUUCCCUUUCUCUAUACAUAGCACAAAAAUAUAGUGCCUGUAAAGUUACCGGGAUUUGCAAUUCAGUCACCCAAAAAGCACACAUAGAAGAGCAGUGCCGGGAGCUUCAGCUGCAGAAUUUGGAGAUCAUAGUUGCAGAUAUUAGCACAUUCGAGAUGGAAGGAUCCUAUGAUAGAAUAUUGUCUAUUGAAAUGUUUGAGCAUAUGAAGAACUAUGGAGAUCUCCUGAAGAAGAUCUCAAGAUGGAUGAAGGCAGAUAGUCUUCUUUUUGUUCAUUAUUUUUGCCAUAAAGCAUUUGCUUACCACUUUGAGGAUGUGAAUGAUGAUGAUUGGAUCACUAGGUACUUUUUCAGUGGAGGUACAAUGCCUUCUGCUAAUCUCCUCCUUUAUUUUCAGGAUGAUGUUUCUGUGGUUGAUCAUUGGCUAGUUAAUGGAAAACAUUAUGCACAGACAAGUGAAGAAUGGCUUAAGAGAAUGGAUGAGAACAAGAGUUCCAUAAAGCCAAUAAUGGAGUCAACUUAUGGGAAGGAUUCAGCCGUUAAGUGGACUGUCUACUGGAGAACCUUUUUCCUUUCAGUUGCUGAAUUGUUUGGGUACAACAAUGGAGAAGAAUGGAUGGUUGCACAUUUCCUCUUCAAGAAGAAUUGAAUUUGCCAAGCCAAGUAAUAAGCAUGUCUACAUGCAUUCGCACUAUUACCAUAAGUAGAAUGUGUUGCUAUGAUGCUAUCCUCGUCAGUCCUAUCAUAUAUAGAGAAAAUUUCAUAAAUGAGCUUCAGAAAAGGCAGCUAAGAAUGUGAUCACUC
rnacentral:misc_RNA from 1 species